rnacentral:lncRNA from 1 species
CUGGAGGAGCAGCCUUGCUUCCCUACAGAGUUUAUUUUGGGAGUAAGAGGGAGUAUCUCCACCCAUCAUGGCCCAAAUUUCUUUAAAUGAGAAAAUGGAAGAAUUCAGUACAAGGUAUUUGUCUGGGUUGGAAGAGUACAGAGAGGCUGAAUCAUGGAGCUGAGGUGCAAACGGAAAGAAUCAGCAAUUGAAGCAAACAGGCUCUGCCUUUACCCCUUGCCAUCUAAGCACUGUUCACCACAUCCUGUUGAGAGUCACUACCUGAGAAUAGAGGCUCCUACACUGUUGUUUUUUAUUAUUCUUAUUUUGGUGGGGGGAAUACUGGGGAUUAAACCUCCAUGGCUUCAUGUAUCCUGGCAAGAACUCUACCACUGAGUUACAUCCCCAGCCCUUUUUUCUUUUUUCUUUUGUCUGUAAUCCCAAGUAGCUGGGAUUACAGGCUUGUGCCACCAUACCCAGAACACUUUUAGUAUUUGUAGGAAAGUCCCCUGGUCAAAACCUAGUUUUUC